GUAAUUGUAAAAUCAGAAGGGUAAGCGUACUGCAAGCUAGCCAAACACUCAGCGCAUCAGGGAGGUAGAGGAAGGGCCUAAAUCGUCUGAUGCUGCUGGUUCCAGGUGCUCUGGAGAAACAGAGAACUCAAACUUCUCAUGUGA